UACGUAGGGGGCUAGCGUUGUCCGGAUUUAUUGGGCGUAAAGAGCGUGUAGGCGGCCAGGUAGGUCUGCUGUGAAAACUCGAGGCUCAACCUCGAGACGUCGGCGGAAACCAUCUGGCUAGAGUCCGGAAGAGGAGAGUGGAAUUCCUGGUGUAGCGGUGAAAUGCGUAGAUAUCGGAAGGAACACCAGUGGCGAAAGCGGCUUCCUGGUCCAGCACCGACGUUCAGGCACGAAAGCGUGGGGAGCAAACAGG
rnacentral:rRNA from 1 species